AUGUUUAAACUGAGCUUUUGAUACAUUCCGUUGCUUCAGCCUUCAAAGUCCUCAGUUCAUUUACACUAAUCCCUAAUUCAAUACAAUACGUUUAGUCGUUUACAAUCGAUCGAAAGUGAGCACUGAGCAGCACAGCAGCAGACUUUAAUUUCUAAUCUCCAUAGCAAGACCCAGCAAGCCAGCAUCCAUUGAUAGGCGAUAAGAAGAUAAAGUAUGGAUGAUGAUUUGCUGCAGCAACAAACUCAAAAUCCUCGUACAGAUGAAGUGAUGUUUUUUGUUCAGCACUUUGCCUACUUUCUCUGCUAAGCAUCUCAGGAUUUUAACACUGCCAGCAAUUUACUUCUUAUUCCCUCUCAUUCUUGCACAGUCAGUCUACUGCAAUACUACAUAUGGUACUAAUUGAUAUCUGAUCCCAUUUUUGUUCUUUUCUAUGUGGCUGGAGACGAAGUCGAGAAGACUUUCGCUGAGAUUGUGGCAUUUUAUUACUCUAUUAUCUUGAAUUCUUAUUUUGGAAGUACAAAUAUUGUAAUAUUAAUUUCUCGUAUUUUGAAUGAAUGAAGACUUUCGGUGUU